CAACACCAGGAUUAACAUGAUAAAAAAAAAUUACGAAACAAUGCAACAGAGAAGACCAAAAUCAUGAUUUGUUUAACAAUGGAUGAAAAAAUUUACUUGUAUGAAAAAGGAUAAGUCUCAGCACAAUUUAGGAGUGUCUAGAUGGGGUUUUACAGAAUAUAUAGAGAUAUCAACAGGCCAAUACCACCAAAAAAAAUGGACUAAAAAAAUAAGAUCAGAAGUAUGAAGAAAUGGAAAACA
rnacentral:lncRNA from 1 species